rnacentral:rRNA from 1 species
CAGUGGGGAAUUUUGGACAAUGGGCGAAAGCCUGAUCCAGCAAUGCCGCGUGAGUGAAGAAGGCCUUCGGGUUGUAAAGCUCUUUUGUCAGGGAAGAAACGGUGUGGGCUAAUAUCCUGCACUAAUGACGGUACCUGAAGAAUAAGCACCGGCUAACUACGUGCCAGCAGCCGCGGUAAUACGUAGGGUGCAAGCGUUAAUCGGAAUUACUGGGCGUAAAGCGUGCGCAGGCGGUUUUGUAAGUCUGAUGUGAAAUCCCCGGGCUCAACCUGGGAAUUGCAUUGGAGACUGCAAGGCUAGAAUCUGGCAGAGGGGGGUAGAAUUCCACGUGUAGCAGUGAAAUGCGUAGAGAUGUGGAGGAACACCGAUGGCGAAGGCAGCCCCCUGGGUCAAGAUUGACGCUCAUGCACGAAAGCGUGGGGAGCAAACAGGAUUAGAUACCCUGGUAGUCCACGCCCUAAACGAUGUCUACUAGUUGUCGGGUUUUAAUUAACUUGGUAACGCAGCUAACGCGUGAAGUAGACCGCCUGGGGAGUACGGUCGCAAGAUUAAAACUCAAAGGAAUUGACGGGGACCCGCACAAGCGGUGGAUGAUGUGGAUUAAUUCGAUGCAAC